GUCCCAGCUCAUCUUGUUCCUCAGAUUCUUGUUUGCGUGGGGAGGAGGGAGGAGAUGGGCCAAGUUCCCUCUGCCUGGAACGCCCUUCCCCCCCUUCUUCACCUGGCGAACUCCUACUCGUCCUUCAAGACCCAGCUCAAG
ensembl:miRNA